UACGUAGGAGGCAAGCGUUGUCCGGAAUUACUGGGCGUAAAGCGCGUGUAGGUGGUGGGACAAGUCUGCUGUGAAAGCGCCUGGCUUAACCGGGAGUGGUCGGUGGAAACUGCUCGUCUGGAGGACGGUAGAGGUAGGUAGAAUUCCCGGUGUAGUGGUGAAAUGCGUAGAGAUCGGGAGGAAUACCUGUGGCGAAGGCGGCCUACUGGGCCGGACCUGACGCUGAGACGCGAAGGCGUGGGGAGCGAACGGG
rnacentral:rRNA from 1 species